UUGCUUCUGAAUAAAAUCUUAGCUAAACCAGCAUAAGAUCACUUUUUGUUUACAAGGGAAGCAGUUAUAAAAUAGCUAUCUAAUAAUUGGAGUCGGCCUACGGAACCUAUGGAAUUGAGAAUCCAGUCUUGCAGAAUUUUCAGUCUUGUAGCUUACCUUGCCCAGCAUGCUGAUCGUGCAUAUUUUCACAGCUAUGUUUGUGUGGUGUUCCAUUGAUGGGGACUUCUGAACUUCCCACUGCCAUGAACAGACCACCAACUGAUUAAGAAAAGCUUGAAAGUGUAUCCUGAGAAGUUUCCUCUUCAGCGGACAAAAAAGAACUGAGGAGGAGGGUGUGGAGCACGUGACCAAGGUGUGAGGGGAGGAGCCUAUCCACUUAUCAGAGAGCCAGAAAAGGUUUAGCUUGUGAGUGUUCCGGAGGUUUUCUUCACGCAGGCGUGAAGCUCAUCUGUAUGAUGGACGGAGACCACUUAGAAGAACUGCACUGGCUGCCAAUAUGUUUCCAAGUGAAAUACAAAGUUCUGGUUUUACCUAUA